CCUACGGGAGGCAGCAGUAAGGAAUAUUGGUCAAUGGAGGCAACUCUGAACCAGCCAUGCCGCGUGCAGGAAGAAGGCCCUAUGGGUCGUAAACUGCUUUUGUACCAGAGAAAACCACAGUACGUGUACUGUGUUGAUAGUAUGGUAAGAAUAAGCAUCGGCUAACUUCGUGCCAGCAGCCGCGGUAAGACGAAGGAUGCAAGCGUUAUCCGGAUUCAUUGGGUUUAAAGGGUGCGUAGGCGGACUGAUAAGUCAGUGGUGAAAUCUCUCAGCUUAACUGAGAAACUGCCAUUGAUACUGUUAGUCUAGAGUAUAGAUGACGUUGGCGGAAUAUGACAUGUAGUGGUGAAAUACUUAGAUAUGUCAUAGAACACCGAUUGCGAAGGCAGCUAACGAAACUAUAACUGACGCUGAGGCACGAAAGUGCGGGGAUCAAACAGGAUUAGAUACCCUGGUAGUCCGCACCGUAAACGAUGAUUACUCGUUGUUGGCAUAUGACCGUCAGCGACCAAGCGAAAGCGAANAGANACNCGNGGNGAGCGCGACGAGACGAGAGAGUAGAGNGNGNGNGNGCGAGNGANGAGGAG
rnacentral:rRNA from 1 species